GAAAAGGCUGGAAAUGGCUUGAGUGGCCAACAGGAAAAUGAAGCAAUUGCUGAGGAAGAAGGAAAAAUUGUUGUGGAAGAGAUAAAUUUGACUAAAAACUCACACAAAUUUGAGUCUACAGUAGAAUUUAAGGAAUAAAUGAGCACCAACGUGACACCUAUUGUCACUCUUGAGAAGGUGAAGAAACCAGUGAAUCCCAGGACGACUUUCCCAACAAAAGCUGUUCAGAAGAAGAAAUCCCUUGCUAUGACCAAA
rnacentral:lncRNA from 1 species